rnacentral:rRNA from 1 species
CCCUUAGAUGUUCUGGGCCGCACGCGCGCGACACUGACGAAUGCAACGAGCUUAUAACCUUGGCCGAAAGGUCUGGGUAAUCUCCAAAUUUCGUCGUGAUGGGGAUAGAUUAUUGCAAUUAUUAAUCUUCAACGAGGAAUGCCUAGUAAGCGCAAGUCAUCAGCUUGCGUUGAUUACGUCCCUGCCCUUUGUACACACCGCCCGUCGCUCCUACCGAUUGAAUGGUCCGGUGAAGCGUUCGGACCGUGGCCUUUGGACGGUUCGCCGUCUGUUGGCUGCGGGAAGUUCGUUAAACCUUAUCAUUUAGAGGAAGGAGAANUCGUANCA